rnacentral:rRNA from 1 species
UUUGAGUUUGAUCCUGGCUCAGGACGAACGCUGGCGGCGUGCUUAACACAUGCAAGUCGAACGAUGAAGAGGAGCUUGCUCCUUGGAUUAGUGGCGAACGGGUGAGUAACACGUGAGCAAUCUGCCCUUGACUCUGGGAUAAGCGUUGGAAACGACGUCUAAUACCGGAUACGACCCUCGGAGGCAUCUCCUGGGGGUGGAAAGAAUUUUGGUCAAGGAUGAGCUCGCGGCCUAUCAGCUUGUUGGUGAGGUAAUGGCUCACCAAGGCGACGACGGGUAGCCGGCCUGAGAGGGUGACCGGCCACACUGGGACUGAGACACGGCCCAGACUCCUACGGGAGGCAGCAGUGGGGAAUAUUGCACAAUGGGCGAAAGCCUGAUGCAGCAACGCCGCGUGAGGCACGACGGCCUUCGGGUUAUAAACCUCUUUUAGUAGGGAAGAAGCGAAAGUGACGGUACCUGCAGAAAAAGCACCGGCUAACUACGUGCCAGCAGCCGCGGUAAUACGUAGGGUGCAAGCGUUGUCCGGAAUUAUUGGGCGUAAAGAGCUCGUAGGCGGUUUGUCGCGUCUGCUGUGAAAACCCGAGGCUCAACCUCGGGCCUGCAGUGGGUACGGGCAGACUAGAGUGCGGUAGGGGAGAUUGGAAUUCCUGGUGUAGCGGUGGAAUGCGCAGAUAUCAGGAGGAACACCGAUGGCGAAGGCAGAUCUCUGGGCCGUAACUGACGCUGAGGAGCGAAAGCAUGGGGAGCGAACAGGAUUAGAUACCCUGGUAGUCCAUGCCGUAAACGUUGGGAACUAGAUGUGGGGACCAUUCCACGGUCUCCGUGUCGCAGCUAACGCAUUAAGUUCCCCGCCUGGGGAGUACGGCCGCAAGGCUAAAACUCAAAGGAAUUGACGGGGGCCCGCACAAGCGGCGGAGCAUGCGGAUUAAUUCGAUGCAACGCGAAGAACCUUACCAAGACUUGACAUAUACGAGAA